UAACACGUGAGCAACCUGCCCUGGACUCUGGGAUAAGCGCUGGAAACGGCGUCUAAUACUGGAUAUGAGACGUGAUCGCAUGGUCGUGUUUGGAAAGAUUUUUCGGUCUGGGAUGGGCUCGCGGCCUAUCAGCUUGUUGGUGAGGUAAUGGCUCACCAAGGCGUCGACGGGUAGCCGGCCUGAGAGGGUGACCGGCCACACUGGGACUGAGACACGGCCCAGACUCCUACGGGAGGCAGCAGUGGGGAAUAUUGCACAAUGGGCGGAAGCCUGAUGCAGCAACGCCGCGUGAGGGAUGACGGCCUUCGGGUUGUAAACCUCUUUUAGCAGGGAAGAAGCGAAAGUGACGGUACCUGCAGAAAAAGCGCCGGCUAACUACGUGCCAGCAGCCGCGGUAAUACGUAGGGCGCAAGCGUUAUCCGGAAUUAUUGGGCGUAAAGAGCUCGUAGGCGGUUUGUCGCGUCUGCUGUGAAAUCCCGAGGCUCAACCUCGGGCCUGCAGUGGGUACGGGCAGACUAGAGUGCGGUAGGGGAGAUUGGAAUUCCUGGUGUAGCGGUGGAAUGCGCAGAUAUCAGGAGGAACACCGAUGGCGAAGGCAGAUCUCUGGGCCGUAACUGACGCUGAGGAGCGAAAGGGUGGGGAGCAAACAGGCUUAGAUACCCUGGUAGUCCACCCCGUAAACGUUGGGAACUAGUUGUGGGGACCAUUCCACGGUUUCCGUGACGCAGCUAACGCAUUAAGUUCCCCGCCUGGGGAGUACGGCCGCAAGGCUAAAACUCAAAGGAAUUGACGGGGACCCGCACAAGCGGCGGAGCAUGCGGAUUAAUUCGAUGCAACGCGAAGAACCUUACCAAGGCUUGACAUAUACGAGAACGGGCCAGAAAUGGUCAACUCUUUGGACACUCGUAAACAGGUGGUGCAUGGUUGUCGUCAGCUCGUGUCGUGAGAUGUUGGGUUAAGUCCCGCAACGAGCGCAACCCUCGUUCUAUGUUGCCAGCACGUAAUGGUGGGAACUCAUGGGAUACUGCCGGGGUCAACUCGGAGGAAGGUGGGGAUGACGUCAAAUCAUCAUGCCCCUUAUGUCUUGGGCUUCACGCAUGCUACAAUGGCCGGUACAAAGGGCUGCAAUACCGUGAGGUGGAGCGAAUCCCAAAAAGCCGGUCCCAGUUCGGAUUGAGGUCUGCAACUCGACCUCAUGAAGUCGGAGUCGCUAGUAAUCGCAGAUCAGCAACGCUGCGGUGAAUACGUUCCCGGGUCUUGUACACAC
rnacentral:rRNA from 1 species